rnacentral:tmRNA from 3 species
GGGGAUGAUCGGCCUAGACAAUAAGAUACAUUUGUAAAAUGCGAGAGAGAGCUACAGUACACUCUUAAAACUGCUAUAAAAGAUAACUGCAAACAAAGUUGUCGCAAAAGCAAAAACCGUUGUUUCUCCAUAUUUUGGAGUGGGUGAUUUUGCUUUCGCUUACGUUAGGGCUUAAUUUUAAGUCUCGCUAAGCGACGUCAGAUUCUUUGAUGUCUCAUAAAAGAAAUCUGGUGUAAUAAAUUUGAGACUUUGAAAAAUAGUUGCUUCGCUAUUUUUUCUAAAUGUUGAAGCUCGAUAUUUUAAGAUCUUGUUUGUUCCAUACUUAAAAUAUUUAAACAAACUGCAACAAACUAACUCUUGUAGAAAUUUUCCAAAUCUCUUAUUGCAUGGCGGUUCGAUUCCGCCCAUCUCCACAA